rnacentral:rRNA from 1 species
UACGUAGGGUGCAAGCGUUGUCCGGAAUUAUUGGGCGUAAAGGCUCGUAGGCGGUCCAUCGCGUCGGGAGUGGAAAGCUGGGGCUCAACCCCAGUCCUGCUUCCGGAUACGGGUGGACUAGAGGUAGGCAGGGGAGAACGGAAUUCCGUGGAUGUAGCGGUGAAAUGCGCAGAUAUCAGGAGGAACACCGGUGGCGAAGGCGGUUCUCUGGGCCUUACCUGACGCUGGAGGAAGCGAAAGCGUGGGGAGCAAACAGG